rnacentral:rRNA from 1 species
GAUUAACGCUGGCGGCGUGCAUAACACAUGCAAGUCGAACGAUGAAACUUAAAUGAUUUCUUCGGAAUGAACUUAAGUGGAUUAGUGGCGGACGGGUGAGUAACGCGUGAGUAACCUGCCUUACACAAGGGGAUAGCCGUUGGAAACGACGAAUAAUACCCUAUGAAACUAUCACUUCGCAUGAAGCGAUAGUCAAAGUGUUAGCGGUGUAAGAUGGACUUGCGUCUGAUUAGCUAGUUGGUGAGAAAAAAGCCCACCAAGGCAACGAUCAGUAGCCGGCUUGAGAGAGUGUACGGCCACAUUGGGACUGAGACACGGCCCAGACCCCUACGGGAGGCAGCAAUGGGGAAUUUUGCACAAUGGGGGAAACCCUGAUGCAGCGACGCCGCGUGAUUUAGAAGGCCUUCGGGUUGUAAAAAUCUUUUGUAUAGGAAGAAAAUGACAGUACUAUACGAAUAAGGUCCGGCUAAUUACGUG